rnacentral:rRNA from 1 species
UACGUAGGGUGCGAGCGUUGUCCGGAAUUAUUGGGCGUAAAGAGCUCGUAGGCGGCUUGUCGCGUCGGAUGUGAAAGCCCGGGGCUUAACCCUGGGUCUGCAUUCGAUACGGGCAGGCUAGAGUUCGGUAGGGGAGAUCGGAAUUCCUGGUGUAGCGGUGAAAUGCGCAGAUAUCAGGAAGAACACCCGUGGCGAAGGCGGUUCUCUGGGACGGUACUGACGCUGAGACGCGAAAGCGUGGGGAGCGAACAGG